UACAGAGGGGGCCAGCGUUAUUCGGAAUUAUUGGGCGUAAAGGGCGCGUAGGCGGCCAUGCGUGUCUUCCGUGAAAUCCCUCGGCUCAACCGAGGACGUGCGGAAGAAACUGCGAGGCUCGAGUCCAGAAGAGGGGGGCGGAAUUCCCAGUGUAGCGGUGAAAUGCGUAGAUAUUGGGAGGAACACCGGUGGCGAAGGCGGCAUCCUGGACCAACACUGACGCUGAGGCGCGAAAGCUAGGGGAGCAAACGGG
rnacentral:rRNA from 1 species